GAAACUGUUGUGAGUAAACACCAACUGUGCAGAUCGGCGCAAGAUAAUUCGCUUUUUUAGCAGACGAUGUCUGGUGUGGGCGCCAUCACCACCAUUUGUGGUCUCGUUGUUGGUGUGCUGGCUGUGAUUGGGAAGAUGUGGUUGGACAACCGAAAUCGGGCAAUAGAGAAUCAGCCACGAUCAGCACGGACAUCAACGUUUAAUCGUGGACCAAACCCAACUGUUCGGCGGGGUAUAUGUGAACUUUGUGGUGAGCCGGGUGCACCGAUACGUGCCUGCCAACAUGCAUUCCACGACAGUUGUUAUGCUCUCUACGGCAAUAAGUGUGGCAUAUGCACGUCGGCUCCGGAGAAAAAACCUUUAUAACGGGUUAAAGGAGCAGAGCGAUGAAACAUUACAAUAAAACAUAUUGGUUCGACGUUAUUCUUUA